GUCGGUAUAGCUCAGUUGGUAGAGCAACUGAUUUGUAAUCAGUGGGUCGAAGGUUCAAGUCCUUCUGCCGGCA
rfam:Blochmannia endosymbiont of Camponotus (Colobopsis) obliquus strain 757, complete genome.